GACGAACGCUGGCGGCGUGCUUAACACAUGCAAGUCGAGCGGUAAGGCCCUUUCGGGGGUACACGAGCGGCGAACGGGUGAGUAACACGUGGGUGACCUGCCCUCAGCUCUGGGAUAAGCCUGGGAAACCGGGUCUAAUACUGGAUAUGACUCCAUGACGCAUGUUGUGGGGUGGAAAGCCUUGUGCGGCUGAGGAUGGGCCCGCGGUCUAUCAGCUUGUUGGUGGGGUGANGGCCUACCAAGGCGACGACGGGUAGCCGGCCUGAGAGGGCGACCGGCCACACUGGGACUGAGACACGGCCCAGACUCCUACGGGAGGCAGCAGU
rnacentral:rRNA from 1 species